CACUUUGCUGUGAAGAUGGUGUCGGGCAGCGGGACAAAAAUUUGGACUUCGCCGAAAGUGUGACAAAGAUGAAUACAAGAAACUCGCCGAGAAGAGGCUCACGGAAGAGAGAGUAAAGAAGGAUGGAAAACCAGUGCAGCCUGUCAAGCGAGAGCUUUUACGGCGCAGGGACUACAGGGUGGACUUGGAAUCCAAACUUGGGAAGACAAUUGUUAUUACCAAGACGACACCUCAAUCUGAGAUGGGAGGAUGUUAUUGCAAUGUCUGUGACUGUGUGGUGAAGGACUCCAUCAACUUUCUGGAUCACAUUAAUGGAAAGAAACAUCAGAGAAACCUCGGCAUGUCUAUGUGUGUGGAACGUUCCACCCUGGAUCGGGUGAAGAAACUUUCUGAGGUCAACAAGAAGAAGAUGGAAGAAAAGCAGAAGGAUUAUGAUUUUGAGGAAAGGAUGAAGGAGCUCAGAGAAGAGGAGGAAAAGGCCAAAGCAUACAAGAAAGAGAAACAGAAGGAGAAGAAAAGGAGGGCUGAGGAGGACUUGACAUUUGAGGAGGAUGAUGAGAUGGCAGCUGUGAUGGGCUUCUCUGGCUUUGGUUCCACCAAGAAGAGUUACUGAGGCUUUCUAUGCUUGGCCUAACUUUGGCCUAUGCUGGACCUAACUUUGUGUGUGUUUGUAGUGGGGGGGGUGGUAAUUUCUUUUUGGGUAAUGGGAAAGUCCUUAAGAGUGUUAAUGGGGAGGGACAGAAGUUGGGGCUCAUGGUUUCCUCUACUUUGGGAGAGGACACAGAUUGCAGAGGCAAUGCUGUGGCAUAUUCCCUCAGCCUCAGUAUAUCACUGGAGUCAUAGGACCCCUGUCCACCUGAGUUCCCAAUAAAGAAAAACCUCCCUUUCUGAGGCUGCUUUCCCAAAACACUCCCUGCAUCUCAAUCUCUCCAUCUAUCCAACCUCUUGUCUGAGCAUCCCACCUUUAUUCUGUGUUCUGCCUUUGUUCUAAUUUUAACUCAUGUUCAGCCUGCAACAGAAGCAUUCUCUAGGUCCCAGUUUCCAGUUGAUUGCAUAUCCUUGACCAGCCCUUUUUCCCAUCCUGCCCUAUGGUUCUCUAGCCACCUGUGCAUGCAUGUGUAUUUCUGCCUGGUUUUAUGAUGUGCGUGGAUGUGUGUGCAUGAAUCUGUCACAUAGAGGGGGCCUGAGCUGGAAUCUCAGAGCAUUGCUGCCCUGGGACCUAAUGUUCUUGGCUUCCUCAGAGCAUGUAACAGGAAAUUAAAUGGGAUGAGUGUUUGGUUAAAAAAAAAAAAAAAAAAAUCCAAUUUUUUUUGCCGAGACACUCCUUUAAUAAAUAUCUCAUACAAUGAUUCUGCCUUCGGUUCUGUUUUUCCUGUGUAGGCCUAGGGAGUGCCAGGUGCCUCCCUCCCCUCCUAUACUAUUUUGGCUCCUGCUCUGAAGGAAAUAGUAAAACUGCUUUAUAGAGAGGAGAAGCUUUAGCUGGAGAACAGCUCUGUCUUCCUAGGAACCAGGGACAGUCAAUAACCAGGAAGGACCGAGGGCCAAAGGGCCCUUGCUAAUCUUACUAUAAGAUGGGCACUUUUAGGAAAGGAUUUUUAGCUAGUGUUUCUCCUUGCUUUUAAUGACCCCAGCCCCGCCUGGAGUGGCUAGAAGCCAGCAGGCACCCACAUGCUACUUACCAGUGCCUCAGCUUUCCCCCAGCCCGGGUCAGGCCGUGGGAGCCACUGUUAUCUGUGUUUUCUGCCGAAGACUCUUGGGGGGCCUUACACCUACCCUGUGCAUCGGGGCUGGACCAGGCUCCUGCGUCCUCACUCAGGUUUGCUCCCACUAGGCCCACUGCUGUAUGAUCUGGGGGCCACCACCCUGGGCCAGUGGCCUCUGGGCUGCCCCCAUGGUGUGGAGGCAGAGCUGGUGCCCACAGCACUUCCUCCUUGCUCCCACCCCUGGCAGCAGGGAAGGGCUUUGCCUGACAACACCCAGCUUUAUGUAAAUAUUCUGCAGUUGUUACUUAGGAAGCAUGGGGAGGGCAAGGGUGUCCCAUGCCCCAUGGCUCCCACUCUGUGCCGAAUGUAUUACAAAUCCUUGGGGGCGAUGCCCGGCCCUGGGAUGCUGUUUGGAGAAGGAAUAAAUGUUUUCUCAUUCAAAAAAAAAAAAAA